UUGUCAUCCAUACCUGCUUUCUUCAUGUGUUUGUCCAGAAGGUUCUGCAGGUCUUGUUCCUUUUCGUUGUUAAACUGAGAUUCCAGAGCCAACAGGAUAUAUUCAUCCAGCAGCAUCCGGAUCAGAUGGAAGGAACCUGAGAACAACCCAGAUAGAAGUAAUUACUUUUGACCAGGGGUCCUCAAGGCAAGCCAAACAUCAACCAAAUAAUCAAAUCAUACAAUUUUAAAGAAAACUUAAUGGAAGAAAUACUUUGCUGGAUAGCUCAAUUGGUAAUUGUGCUUGUUCUAAACCAAAAGCCUAGGCUUUAAUUGCUGGGCUCCCUAGAGAGGUGUGUGACCUAAUUAAAAGGAAAUAAUCCACAGAUGCUCCUGGAUCAGAACACAGGACCUUGUUCUUCCUCAGUUUGUCCAGCAGGGUGACAGCUGGUGUGUUUGAGCGUUUUUUUGGGGCUUAGUGGGAGGAAGCAGACAAAUGGUCGGUGUUUAUUCACACACCGUGUUUGAACAGCGAGCACACGACCCCGAGAUAAGACUGUUUAAUCAAGACCAGUGGGGCCAUUACAAUUUAUGAUGCCAUUGUACAAAUGCACUGCGUGUGUGUGUGUUUAGAAGACGGACGCACAAAACUGACCUUCCAAAUGAUUGAUCCUAAUACAAAUAAUGCAACAUUUUUCCAGGUUGUGUCUCAUUCAUGUGUGCAAAAUUGUGCUGUUGAAAUGGAUUGUGGUUCUUUCCUGACCAAAGCUGGAGGCAUUGUUGAGCGUGAGGUUGUGCAUGACUCUGGCACCAAAGAAGCUCCACCUGAGCAGGAACUCCUGAGCUCGCUUCUUCACCGUGCGACCCGUCUGCUUGCUUGGCUGCUUGCCCACAAAGAAAACAAAAAAAAAAAAUGAAAAAAACAAGUGUGAGUCAACUUUCUGGUGUUUGCAGGGUGAUUUAGAUUAAAACACCUUGAUGACUUUGUGCUCCACUACCGAGUCCAGCCACUCGAUGAAGGACUCCACUGUAGCGUUCUUCCUCAGCAGUUCCUUUAGCUCCUGGAAGACAGUGAUGGCGUCGUCUGGAGGAAAACAAGUGAAGCAGGUGGUCGGGCAUGCCCUGCCAGAAGUGCAGCAGGAAGUUCUGGAUCUGCAAAAAAGAAAAUCAAAAGCAGACCAAUCAUUGAAGUUGUCUCUAAAGGACGAGAUGCUGAGCACUGGGGAAUUCUGGCAGCAGCGUUCCAGUUUUGGAGCUCAGAGAAUAUUUUCUGGUGAAUCCUCCCUGCCCAGAAUAUACACAUCUUUUAGAUCAGGGGUCUCAAACUUUUACAACAAACAUACUCUGGCCAGCAAAAAGACCAACUUCCUGUAAGCAAGCGGAAGUGUCUGUAGCUAUCUCCCGGUGAACUGAACAGUGUCAAAAUAUAAAACAUUUUACAAUAAAAUUGACAUUUGUAAAGACUUAAAUGAUACCAUAGCUCAGAGUUACUAUACCUGCUGGUAGCAUAGUAACAUUAUUUUUUAAAGCGAAGCAUACAUUUACAGAUAUAAGAAACGUGUGUGAGAUGUUACCUCAUUCUUUAGCUUGCUCCCGGAAAAUCUGUCAAAGAAAAGGUGAAGUUUUAUACGUAAAACUAAUCAUAACAUUUGGAAAUUGUCAAUGUUGACCAAAGUAAAGCAAUUGAAAGUAAAGUACCUGGUCAAACCUUUACCAGAAUAGACCGAGUGAUAGUAGGCACUGCUCUCUUUGAUGCCGAUGCCAUAGUAAUGAUACCUGCCGUAUAACAUGAUUAAUAUACAAACCCCAUUUCCAUAGGAGUUGGGAAAUUGUGUUAGAUGUAAAUAUUAAUGGAAUUCAAUGAUUUGCAAAUCCUUUUCAACCCAUAUUCAAUUGAAUCCACUUCAAAGACAAGAUAUUUGAUGUUGAAACUCAUAAACUUUAUUUUUUUUUUGCAAAUAAUAAUUAUCUUACAUUUUAAUGGCUGCAACACAUUCCAAAGUAGUUGGGAAAGGGCAUGUUCACUACUGUCUUACAUCACCUUUUCUUUCAACAACACUCAAUAAACGUUUGGGAACUGAGAAGACACAUUUUUGAAGCUUCUCAGGUGGAAUUCUUUCCCAUUCUUGCUUGAUGUACAGCAUAAGUUGUUCAACAUUCCGGGGUCUCUGUUGUCUUAUUUUAGGCUUCAUAAUGUUUAGUGGGAGACAGGUCUGGACUGCAGGCAGGCCAGUGUAGUACCCGGACUCUUUAACUAUGACGCCACGCUGUUGUAACACGUGGUGUGGCAUUGUCUUGCUGAAAUAAGCAGGGGCGUCCAUGAUAACGUUGCUUGGAUGACAACAUAUGUUGCUCCAAAACCUGUAUGUACCUUUCAGUAUUAAUGGUGCCUUCACAGGUAUGUAAGUUACCCAUGCCUUGGCCACCAAUAAAUCCCCAUACCAUCACAGAUGCUGGCUUUUGAACUUUGCGCCUAGAAAAAUCAGGAUGGUUAUUUUCCUCUUUGUUCUGAAAUGUGCACUCGUCAGACCACAGAACACUUUUCCACUUUGCAUCAGUCCAUCUUAGGUGAGCUCGGGCCCAGCCAAGCUGAGUCGGAAGGCAAAGCUCUCAAUUUACCGGUCGAUCUACGUUCCCAUCCUCACCUAUGGUCAUGAGCUGUGGGUCAUGCCUGAAAGGAUAAGAUCACUGGUACAAGCGGCCGAAAUGAGUUUCCUCCGCCGUGUGGUGGGGCUCUCCCUUAGAGAUAGGGUGAAAAGCUCUGCCAUCCGGGAGGAACUCAAAGUAAAGCCGCUGCUCCUUCACAUUGAGAGGAGCCAGAUGAGGUGGUUCGGGCAUCUGGUCAGGAUGCCACCCGAACGCCUCCCUAGGGAGGUGUUUAGGGCACGUCCAAGCGGUAGGAGGCCACGGGGAAGACCCAGGACACGUUGGGAAAACUAUGUCUCCCGGCUGGCCUGGGAACGCCUCGGGAUCCCCCAGGAAGAGCUAGACGAAGUGGCUGGGGAGAGGGAAGUCUGGGUUUCCCUGCUUAGGCUGUUGCCCCCGCGACCCGACUUCGGAUAAGCGGAAGAAGAUGGAGAUGGAUGGAUUUGGCUUUGCAAAGUAGAGUUUUAACUUGCACUUAAAGAUGUAGCGACCAACUAUAGUUGCUGACAGUGGUUUUAUGAAGUGUUCCUGAGCCCAUGUGGUGAUAUCCUUUACACACCGAUUUCGGUUUUUGAUGCUGUACCGCCUGAGGGAUCAAAGAUCCGUAAUAUCAUUGCUUACGUGCAGUGAUUUCUCCAGAUUCUCUGAACUUUUUGAUGAUUUUACGGACCGUAGAUGGUAAAACUUUUAAAUUUCUUGCAAUAGCUCGUUGAGAAAUGUUGUUCUAAAACUGUUAGACAAUUUGCUUACAAAGUGGUGACCCUCGCCCCAUCCUUGUUUGUGAAUUACUUAGCAUUUCAUGGAAGCUGCUUUUAUACCCAAUCAUGGCACCCAACUGUUCCCAAUUAGCCUGCACACCUGUGGGAUGUUCCAUAUAAGUGUUUGAUGAGCAUUCCUCAACUUUAUCAGUAUUUAUUGCCACCUUUCCCAACUUCUUUGUCACAUGUUGCUUGCAUCAAAUUCUAAAGUUAAUUAUUAUUUGCGAAAAAAAAAGUGUUUAUCAGUUUGAACAUAAAAUAUGUUGUCUUUGUAGCAUAUUCAACUAAAUACGGGUUGAAAAUGAUUUGCAAAUCAUUGUAUUCCGUUUAUAUUUACAUCAAUCACAAUUUACAAACUCAUAUGGAAACGGGGUUUGUAUCGUUAUACCUACAACAGUGUAUCAGAAAAUAAACUGCAGGAGUGUUCAAACUCACUUGGAAUGUCCUCUUGUUCCAAGUCUUCUUGUAGUAAGGAGAGGGAACUUCUGUCGUAUCGUCUGAAGAAUUCAUGCAAGUAUUAUAGGAGAAAAGAAAGAAAGAUAAAUAAAAAUGUAACUAUCUCAAUCAUUCAGUCGUCGAAAAUAAUGACUUUAGAAACAGCACUGAGUACAUUCUGAAAUGUUCUGUCGCUCAACAUACUUUUCCAAAAGUGGCAGCGCAAGCCGGUUCUAGUUUGACCUUUCUACAGAAGUCCAGGUAGUGAGCGUAGAGGAUGCAGCGAGGAAGACACACACCCUCACACACAAUGUAGUUUUCCUCCAGCCUGUUGA